AGACACGGCCCAGACUCCUACGGGAGGCAGCAGUAGGGAAUCUUCCGCAAUGGACGAAAGUCUGACGGAGCAACGCCGCGUGAGUGAUGAAGGUUUUCGGAUCGUAAAGCUCUGUUGUUAGGGAAGAACAAGUACCGUUCGAAUAGGGCGGUACCUUGACGGUGCCUAACCAGAAAGCCACGGCUAACUACGUGCCAGCAGCCGCGGUAAUACGUAGGUGGCAAGCGUUGUCCGGAAUUAUUGGGCGUAAAGGGCUCGCAGGCGGUUUCUUAAGUCUGAUGUGAAAGCCCCCGGCUCAACCGGGGAGGGUCAUUGGAAACUGGGGAACUUGAGUGCAGAAGAGGAGAGUGGAAUUCCACGUGUAGCGGUGAAAUGCGUAGAGAUGUGGAGGAACACCAGUGGCGAGGGCGACUCUCUGGUCUGUAACUGACGCUGAGGAGCGAAAGCGUGGGGAGCGAACAGGAUUAGAUACCCUGGUAGUCCACGCCGUAAACGAUGAGUGCUAAGUGUUAGGGGGUUUCCGCCCCUUAGUGCUGCAGCUAACGCAUUAAGCACUCCGCCUGGGGAGUACGGUCGCAAGACUGAAACUCAAAGGAAUUGACGGGGGCCCGCACAAGCGGUGGAGCAUAUGGUUUAAUUCGAAGCAACGCGAAGAACCUUACCAGGUCUUGACAUCCUCUGACAAUCCUAGAGAUAGGACGUCCCCUUCGGGGGCAGAGUGACAGGUGGUGCAUGGUUGUCGUCAGCUCGUGUCGUGAGAUGUUGGGUUAAGUCCCGCAACGAGCGCAACCCUUGAUCUUAGUUGCCAGCAUUCAGUUGGGCACUCUAAGGUGACUGCCGGUGACAAACCGGAGGAAGGUGGGGAUGACGUCAAAUCAUCAUGCCCCUUAUGACCUGGGCUACACACGUGCUACAAUGGACAGAACAAAGGGCAGCGAAACCGCGAGGUUAAGCCAAUCCCACAAAUCUGUUCUCAGUUCGGAUCGCAGUCUGCAACUCGACUGCGUGAAGCUGGAAUCGCUAGUAAUCGCGGAUCAGCAUGCCGCGGUGAAUACGUUCCCGGGCCUUGUACACACCGCCCGUCACACCACGAGAGUUUGUAACACCCGAAGUCGGUGAGGUAACCUUUUAGGAGCCAGCCGCCGAAGGUGGGACAGAUGAUUGGGGUGAAGUCGUAACAAGGUAGCCGUAUCGGAAGGUGCGGCUG
rnacentral:rRNA from 1 species